GGGGAUUACUUUCCUGUCAUCCAUGUGCAUUUGUGCAACUUCAAACAUAUUGGGUGCUUCUGAAUUCCUGAUGAUUGGAUUUAAACUGUUGAAAAUUAGAUAGUUUAAACUUACUGAUUUUUAUAAUUUUCUGAUCUUAAAAUUUGGUUAACACCUAUAAUCUGUUGCUUUUUCUCAAUAUGUGUCCUAUUGGAAAUUCCUAAAAUCGUUGGUGCCAUCAGUGAUUUACAAACAAUAUUUUGAUAUUGCAGAUGAUUUGCUUACUGUAUUUGCAUUGUUAGAAAAUAGUUUGUAGACAAUGAUUCUUUUUUAAUAAAAUCAAAUAAUUCUGAAAGCACUAGAGAAUUUAACCUAAAGGCUGAUUCCCAAAUGCAUAGCUGGCAUUUUAAUUUAUAUUCAAAUCUACGUAGAGAACAUCUGUGUAAAUCAUCUCACUGGAUUUUCCCAUUGGUCAUUCCCAAACACACCUAUGGUCCUAGAAUCCUUAUUAUGAGAAGCUCCCUGUAACCUUUUAUGUAGUUUGCCUUUAAGAGGCCCAGGUGCUUCUCCUUUAUGAUUUGAGUUGACCUCUUCAUAAAUUAGCAUUGUUUACUUUCAGAGGAAGCAGAGAAAUUGCUGUUACGGUUUUGCAUCUGUUUACCCUAUGCAGAGUUGCUGUAUGAUGCCAACUAAACUGCUCUUUAGGCAGCCUUCUGAGGAGAAAAGCAACCCUGUUUCAAAUCCACUGCCAAUUCAGCUCCUCUGGAGUGGAGCUUACUUUCUGAUUACUUGGAGCAGGAAUUUUAGAGAUUGAAAUGAAUGAUCAUUUAGUCAGAUUUAUCCUGUAAUUUCAUGCAGCUUUGUGGCCUUUGCGGUACUAUUUAUAAAAUGGACCCUGAUGGUGAUGAACUCUUUAAAAUACAUUACUGUUAAGCCUGUGUUGGGACAUUGAUGCUGUCUAUCUCAUUUUUUAGACAGUUUUUGUAGCUCUCUAUUGAGAGGUAUGUGAGCAUCUCUGAAGCAGUGUUGAAUGUAAUUUUGGAAACAUGGAUUGCUUAUUUUGACUUUUAUUUUAUAAAUACACAGCUCAACAGUGCCUUUUUUUCCCCUCAUAGUCCUGUUGGAAGAUGCUUACUACUUUCUUCUCGCUCCCUGCCCUCCCCCACUCCAUUCAGUUGAUUCAUUUAUGCAAUUCUGUUUCCAACUUGAAACCAUUUUGUCACAUCUGUUGGAGAGAUAAUCACUCCUUUUCCUUAACAUUCUGCCAGCUUUCUGAUGUUGAAGUGUUUCAGUUGACUACCUGAUGCAAAAGCUAUAAAAUAAACACUUAGUGGGAAGGGGAAAAAUGGUUUGGUGUCCUAUUUUAAUAUUUUCUUUUGUAGCGUUGACACUGAUGGACAUUUUCCAAGCUGACUCAGUGUUCAGUGUCAACUUAACUCUCAGGUAGUGUUGCCAUCAGAAAAGCAUGCAUCAUCAUUGGUUUUUAAUGAUUGUAUGGCUUGUGACAAUAUUUUAUCUGGACUGACACGUCUCUGCUGCUUUUGCGUUGUACUUCAUCGCUGGUAAUAACAUUUCAGAUAGAAAACUUACAAAGUAUAUACUUAAUUAGAAGAAAAAAGAAAAA
ensembl:lncRNA